ACGCUCGACACCUACGGAGGCAGCAGUGAGGAAUAUUGGUCAAUGGGCGCUAGCCUGAACCAGCCAAGUAGCGUGAAGGAUGAAGGCUCUAUGGGUCGUAAACUUCUUUUAUAUAAGAAUAAAGUGCAGUAUGUAUACUGUUUUGUAUGUAUUAUAUGAAUAAGGAUCGGCUAACUCCGUUCCAGCAGCCGCGGUAAUCUGAGCGGGCUGGCAAGGC
rnacentral:rRNA from 1 species